GACGGAGGGUGCAAGCGUUAUCCGGAUUCACUGGGUUUAAAGGGUGCGUAGGAGGGCAGGUAGGUCAGUGGUGAAAUCUCCGAGCUUAACUUGGAAACUGCCGUUGAUACUAUCUGUCUUGAAUACCGUGGAGGUGAGCGGAAUAUGUCAUGUAGCGGUGAAAUGCUUAGAUAUGACAUAGAACACCAAUUGCGAAGGCAGCUCACUACACGAGCAUUGACUCUGAGGCACGAAAGCGUGGGGAGCAAACAGG
rnacentral:rRNA from 1 species